GGCUAAUCCUGGUCGGACAUCAGGAGGUUAGUGCAAUGGCAUAAGCCAGCUUGACUGCGAGCGUGACGGCGCGAGCAGGUGCGAAAGCAGGUCAUAGUGAUCCGGUGGUUCUGAAUGGAAGGGCCAUCGCUCAACGGAUAAAAGGUACUCCGGGGAUAACAGGCUGAUACCGCCCAAGAGUUCAUAUCGACGGCGGUGUUUGGCACCUCGAUGUCGGCUCAUCACAUCCUGGGGCUGAAGUAGGUCCCAAGGGUAUGGCUGUUCGCCAUUUAAAGUGGUACGCGAGCUGGGUUUAGAACGUCGUGAGACAGUUCGGUCCCUAUCUGCCGUGGGCGCUGGAGAACUGAGGGGGGCUGCUCCUAGUACGAGAGGACCGGAGUGGACGCAUCACUGGUGUUCGGGUUGUCAUGCCAAUGGCACUGCCCGGUAGCUAAAUGCGGAAGAGAUAAGUGCUGAAAGCAUCUAAGCACGAAACUUGCCCCGAGAUGAGUUCUCCCUGACCCUUUAA
rnacentral:rRNA from 1 species